rnacentral:rRNA from 1 species
CCGGUAAUAAACCGGAGGAAGGUGGGGAUGACGUCAAAUCAUCAUGCCCCUUAUGACCUGGGCUACACACGUGCUACAAUGGUUGGUACAACGAGUUGCGAGUCGGUGACGGCGAGCUAAUCUCUUAAAGCCAAUCUCAGUUCGGAUUGUAGGCUGCAACUCGCCUACAUGAAGUCGGAAUCGCUAGUAAUCGCGGAUCAGCACGCCGCGGUGAAUACGUUCCCGGGCCUU